UACGAAGGGGGCAAGCGUUGUUCGGAAUUAUUGGGCGUAAAGGGCGCGUAGGCAGCUUGGCAAGUGGAUGGUGAAAUCCCUCGGCUUAACCGAGGAACUGCCGUCCAAACUGCUUCGCUUGAGACCGGGAGAGGUGAGUGGAAUUCCCAGUGUAGCGGUGAAAUGCGUAGAUAUUGGGAGGAACACCAGUGGCGAAGGCGGGUCUCUGGACAGUUCCUGACACUGAGGCACGAAGGCCAGGGGAGCAAACGGG
rnacentral:rRNA from 1 species